rnacentral:rRNA from 1 species
AUGCAGAUCUUCGUGAAGACGCCGACAGGGAAGACGGUGACCCUGGAGGUCGAGAGCACCGACACCAUCGGCAACGUCAAGGCCAAGAUUGACGGCAAGGAAGGCUUGUCUCCGGAGCAGCAGCGGCUCAUCUUCGGCGGGAAGCCGCUGGAGGACGACUGCAGCCUGGCCGAGUACGACGUCAACGAGGACUCCACUCUUCACCUGCCGCUUCGUCUGCCCGGGGGGUUUCGCGGCUGCAAGGGUUAUUGCAGGGACGACAGCCUCACAGCCCUCGCAGAAAGCUACAACACAAACAAGAAGAUCUGCCGCAAAUGCUAUGCUCGGCUACCUCCUAGGGCAACAAACUGUCGCAAGAAGAAGUGUGGCCACACCACUCAGCUGAGGCCAAAGAAGAUCUGGAGGUACUACUAA